rnacentral:rRNA from 1 species
UACGGAGGGUGCAAGCGUUAUCCGGAAUCAUUGGGUUUAAAGGGUCCGCAGGCGGAUUUAUAAGUCAGUGGUGAAAUCCUAUCGCUUAACGAUAGAACUGCCAUUGAUACUGUAAGUCUUGAAUUCGGUCGGAGUGGGCGGAAUGUGUAGUGUAGCGGUGAAAUGCAUAGAUAUUACACAGAACACCGAUAGCGAAGGCAGCUCACUAGGCCAGAAUUGACGCUCAGGGACGAAAGCGUGGGGAUCAAACAGGAUUAGAUACCCUGGUAGUCCACGCUGUAAACGAUGAUUACUCGUUUUCGGCGAUAUACUGUCGGAGACUAAGCGAAAGUGAUAAGUAAUCCACCUGGGGAGUACGAUCGCAAGGUUGAAACUCAAAGGAAUUGACGGGGGCCCGCACAAGCGGUGGAGCAUGUGGUUUAAUUCGAUGAUACGCGAGGAACCUUACCAGGGCUUAAAUGCAAGUUGAAUGAUGUGGAAACAUGUCAGUCUUCGGACAAUUUGCAAGGUGCUGCAUGGCUGUCGUCAGCUCGUGCCGUGAGGUGUUGGGUUAAGUCCCGCAACGAGCGCAACCCCCAUCUUUAGUUGCUAGCAGGUAAUGCUGAGGACUCUAAAGAAACUGCCUACGCAAGUAGUGAGGAAGGCGGGGACGACGUCAAGUCAUCACGGCCCUUACGUCCUGGGCCACACACGUGCUACAAUGGUUGGUACAGAGGGCAGCUACCGGGUGACCGGAUGCGAAUCUCUAAAGCCAAUCUCAGUUCGGAUUGGAGUCUGCAACUCGACUCUAUGAAGCUGGAAUCGCUAGUAAUCGCGCAUCAGCCAUGGCGCGGUGAAUACGUUCCCGGGCCU